ACACACCGCUCCGCAGUGGGUCGGGGGGCUCCUGAAGCUCUGUGUUGUUAGCCUGCGGGUCCUGGGCUGCAUGACCCAAUUCCUUUUUUUCUGCAGACUCUCUUCCAUGCUUAAAUUGGCCGCUCCAAUCCAAAUUAGCGGGGCGUUUGGACAAAGUCACGAGAUUGUCGAGGUUUCCCGAAGUCUCUGCCGGGUGUCGGCCUCUGAGGUUGCAGUUGCUGGCUGCAGUUCUGCCCGUUUCACUUCUGAGGGUGCUGGUGUUGUGUUACAAGGGCAAGUUACUUUUACUGUGGGCCUUACUCAACUGGAAAAAACACUAGUACCCACAACCUGAGGCUGUUGUGUUCUUUGAGGUAAUGUAUAGAACGUUCCAGCAUACUGCAAUGAACAUUAACAGGGUUUUUUUUUUUCAUUGUUGUUGUUUGUUUGUUUUUUCUAAUGAUGUGAUAUACUUGCUUGUUCCGCGUUGGAACACAUACGUGUACUGGAAAUACUUUUGUUCAGUGCUUAGCUGAUGAAACUGGGUACCUUCCCCUUUGGAAACAUAUAUAUAAACUUGAUUGAAAACUU
rnacentral:lncRNA from 1 species